rnacentral:rRNA from 1 species
GGUAAUUCUGGAGCUAAUACAUGCACCAAAGCUCCGAUCCUCGCGGAGAGGAGCGCAUUUGUUCGCCACAAAACCAAGCGCCUUCCCAGGCGUCCAUUGCUGACUCAGAACAACUCAGCUGAUCGCACGGUCUUGCACCGGCGACGUGUCUUUCAAGUGUCUGCCUUAUCAACUUUCGAUGGUAGUGUACCUGACUACCAUGGUGAUGACGGGUAACGGAGGAUCAGGGUUCGACUCCGGAGAAGGGGCCUGAGAAAUGGCCACUACGUCUAAGGAUGGCAGCAGGCGCGCAAAUUACCCACUCUCAACAUGAGGAGGUAGUGACGAGAAAUAACGAGACCGUACUCAUCUGAGGCCGGUUAUCGGAAUGGGUACAAUUUAAACCCUUUAACGAGUAUCUAUGAGAGGGCAAGUCUGGUGCCAGCAGCCGCGGUAAUUCCAGCUCUCAAAAUGCAUAGAAUUAUUGCUGCGGUUAAAAAGCUCGUAGUUGGAUCUGUGCCGGUCGACCGGUGUACCCUCUGGGUUUGUACUGGCUCGGCUGGCUUUACCGCCGGAGUGCCUUGCGUCCUGGUUGCCCACCGUGGUGCCUGGGCGCGGGUCCGGCAAGUUUACUUUGAACAAAUCAGAGUGCUUAACACAGGCGUUUCGCUUGAAUGUUCGUGCAUGGAAUAAUAGAAGAGGAUCACGGUCCGAUUUUAUUGGUUUUGCUGACCGAGAUAAUGGUUAACAGAGACAAACGGGGCCAUUCGUAUUGCUGCGUGAGAGGUGAAAUUCUUGGACCGUAGCAAGACGGACUACAGCGAAAGCAUUUGGCAAGAAUGUCUUCAUUAAUCAAGAACGAAAGUCAGAGGUUCGAAGGCGAUCAGAUACCGCCCUAGUUCUGACCGUAAACGAUGCCAACUAGCGAUCCGCCGGCGGAUUAAUUUGCCCUGGUGGGGAGCUUCCCGGAAACGAAAGUCUUCCGGUUCCGGGGGAAGUAUGGUUGCAAAGCUGAAACUUAAAGGAAUUGACGGAAGGGCACCACCAGGAGUGGAGCCUGCGGCUUAAUUUGACUCAACACGGGGAAACUCACCCGGCCCGGACACCGUAAGGAUUGACAGAUUGAUAGCUUUUUCAUGAUUCGGUGGAUGGUGGUGCAUGGCCGUUCUUAGUUCGUGGAGCGAUUUGUCUGGUUUAUUCCGAUAACGAGCGAGACUCUGGCCUACUAAAUAGUUGGCGCAUUGCUACUGUGCGUACACACUUCUUAGAGGGAUUUUCGGUGUUCAGCCGCACGAAAUUGAGCAAUAACAGGUCUGUGAUGCCCUUAGAUGUCCGGGGCUGCACGCGCGCUACACUGGCAAAAUCAGCGUGCUUGGCCUUUCCCGAAAGGGAUUGGUAAACCCGUGAAAAUUUGCCGUGAUUGGGAUCGGACAUUGCAAUUAUUGUCCGUGAACGAGGAAUUCCUUGUAGGGGCGAGUCAUCAACUCGCUCUGAAUACGUCCCUGCCCUUUGUACACACCGCCCGUCGCUGCCCGGGACUGAGCCAUUUCGAGAAACUCGGGGAUUGUUGGCUUUGCGGCCCCUCGGGGUCGUGUUGCCGGUGAGAACCGAUUUAAUCGCAGUGGCUUGAACCGGGCAAAAGUCGUAACAAGGUAGC